GUGACGAAGCGACGCCGCGUGUGGGAAGAAGGCCUUCGGGUUGUAAACCACUGUCGGGAGUUAAGAAAUGCAAGAAUGUUAAUAGCGUUUUUGCUUGACUAAGGCUCCGGAGGAAGCCACGGCUAACUCUGUGCCAGCAGCCGCGGUAAUACAGAGGCGGCAAGCGUUGUUCGGAAUUAUUGGGCGUAAAGAGCACGUAGGCGGCUAUAUAAGUCGGGUGUGAAAGCAUUCUGCUGAACGGGAGAACAGCAUCCGAUACUGUGUGGCUUGAGUGUGGGAGGGGAGAGCGGAACUUCUGGUGGAGCGGUGAAAUGCGUAGAUAUCAGAAGGAACGCCGGCGGCGAAAGCGGCUCUCUGGCCCAUAACUGACGCUGAGUGUGCGAAAGCUAGGGGAGCAAACGGGAUUAGAUACCCCGGUAGUCCUAGCCGUAAACGAU
rnacentral:rRNA from 1 species